CCCUUCAGGGGUCAGUGACAAGGCUGCAGUCAGUGACGCACUAAAGCCUCGGAUGUGUGUCAUCUCUCAGAGGAAGGUCUCUUAUUACAGAAGAGGAAGAGUUAGCAUGGCGAUGGUUAAUUUUAUUCACUUAUAGCCUUUUUUGUAACUCUACCGAUCUGUCCUCAGAUGUGAGCUGUUGUAGCAGAAACCUUUUUGCUACCGUACUUUAGAAUUGCCAAUUGUAUUUGGACGGACAAUUUUUCCACAGAGUUCAAAGGACUCGGCUGAAGUUUAAGUUUGAUGAGAGAGAAUGCCAAAGACUGAGAUGUGAGUCCUGACUGAAGUGGCACUUUAGUUGCGAACACAAAGUCUUACAUUUGAAACUCGACUCAGGCUCAGUCUCUCAUGAAUAAUCUUUAUCUCAGGGAGCGAGGGGUGAAAAUAAUCCAACAGGUGAAAGUUAUUUGAGAAAAUGAUCAAUGAGGACAUCAGAUCUUACCAAGUUCCAAGGGCUGAUUGACACAGUGACAUUACACAUCUCUUCUAUGGUUUCAACAAAAGGUGCAUGAGUUAGACAUCCAAGCUCAUCUGUUAUUAUUUCAUAUUACAGCUAAACAGGAAUCAAGAUGUAGACAGCGCCUGAGAUGUGCACAUAAUCCAGUUAGAAAUUACAUUUGUUUUCAUAAUCAGACUGUGAGCACUAAAUUGUUCAUGACAGCUUGUUUAUGUUUAUUGAAGCUAUGUAAUAACGGCCGCAUGAAGCUUUUUCUUUCUAAACAUGCCAAAAGAGAUUUCAAAGCUGUGAUGCUUAGGUCUAACUGAGAACAGUGGCUCCUUGUGGCCAACUGAAGUCACUGCAGCCUCUCAAGAGCAAAACUGAAGUACUGGCGCAGUUUGAAUCCAAUGUGAACAAUUAAACUGCAGCGUUGAACAUCGUCAGUCAUGUGACAGGGGUGUUAAAAGCUUAAACACUUUGCUUCAAAUGACUCCGACUCAGGAGGAGCAAGACAAACUCCACAGUGUUUGUCCAUUAAAAACAUCAUUAAACCAAGAUAUUUUUUUGAAGUGAAAGACACUAAACAAGUUAAUAUACUUAACUUGUUUAUGUGCUCACUGCUUAGUUGUCAUUAUUACAAGGAUUUUUUUUUAAAUAGAAGCACUUCCUGUUUCAUACAUUGAAUUUGGCAUUAACAGGUAUCAACCUAGUUAACUUUAAACUUUAAACCCCAGCUUUUAAGUUGUUUGUAUGUUUUUUCUUUACAUGAACUGCAUGCGUUAAAAAAGAUAAAGAUGAUCAUAAGUUAGAAUUAAGGAUAGCAAUUUGGAUUCAUGGUAUACAUCUGGUUUGGUUUAGCCAAAUAAAUGGCUUGCUAUCAUUUUAAAUACAAAUGUUUCAGAACAUUAUGCAAGAUUAAGUGAAUAAACAGGAACUUGGGAUCCGUCCCACUCACUUACACUUAUGGAGGGCAUUAAUAUGUCACAACAGCAAAGGUCAAGAUUAAAUAGAGAAUAACUUUCCUGAUGGUUCAGAAGGCCCAUUUAGGAAGGCAACAAUUUUGCAUCACUCUUUACAUAGGACAUCUCCACUUAUACAUUGCAUUAUCAGUGGGUAAAGCUUUAUAACUAAAGGCGACACAAAGAAAAUUGUAUAAUAUUUGCAUUCGUAAAUGCCACAUAAAAACCCCCCACAAAUACUGGAAAGCUGUACGUCCACCUGAGGGAUAAGUGCUCUGCAGAGGAAAAGAUUACAGCUCCUCUAUUUCUGUCCUACAAAGCUCUUUAGCAGUCUUACCAUUAUGUGUCUGGAGCUGCGAGCGCGAGGCGUGUGUGUUUCAUGAGCCUGAGAGACUUCUGCAAACGGACAUAAUCAACACUGUCUUCACAUUGCCUUCCCCUGAGAAGUCCUCUGCUGAAUUGCAUGCCUGAUUGCGCAGACUUAUUUCUGCAUGGACUUUUAACUUUCUGUUAGCUGAACUGAGGACUGCAACAGAAAGCCAAGACCUUAAGGAAUAUUAAAGACUCAAAUAAUAGUGGUCAAGAUGUUGAUCACAAUGCUAACGGCCAUGUAUGUGAUGGUGAAAGUUGUAGAAUCGAUUGGGGUCCAAUUUGCACAGAAAGACGAACCUUUGCCUUACAUGGUAUCUCAGCCUUUGCCCUGGCAGGUUCACUCUGUCUCUCACAGCCGGAGGAGCAGCAAAGCAGAACAGUUUGACGGCUUCAGGAGGAACAGCAUAGGCGUAUAUAGAAAGAGCUCCUGUACCAGCAAUGGCACAUGUGGCACACCAUCAGUUCCUCCUCUUAGCCCUAUUGAAGUUGAAAAAGCAGCAUCUACCAUCCAGAACCACUUCAGGAAGUUCCAGCAGAAAAAAAACAAGACCGACAAAUAGAUGAAUGGUGAGGGUUGGUGUGUUGCAGGUGCAGUUACUUUCAAAGGCUACAGGAAGCAGGUGGGCCAUGUUGAUUCACCUCAGAUUAAACAUAACAGCCUGUACGCUGUAUACAUGUAUGCUGAAAUUAGUUCUGAAAAUAUAUCGCAGGAAACCAAGCAGUAACAUAAAGCAGUAGCCUUUAUGACAAACAAAUUUUGUAGCGUCAUUAAGAAUUCAAGAUGACAAUUGAUGUGAAUUUGUGUGUCUGAAUGAAUGGUUUUCAUGUGCAUUGCUGCCAGGUGGACUGUUAAAAUGUGUGUAUUUUUUUAACAUGAUGUAUGACUUGUUUUAAAAACGUGGCAAAAACUGUGAACAUAUUUUCCUUUCAAAGCAUCCUUGUUGAAUUUUAAAUUCAGGAUAUAAAUAAAAUCGUCAAAGACUUUGUUGGAUGUUUCUCUCUGAUGUUUUCCUUUUUUUCUCUUUUAUACUCAUUUACGAAUGUAAAGAAAAUUGGCUUAAAAUGGCUGGAUUUCACAAUCACAUUAAACUCCAGCUCUUGCAGAACAAGAGGCGAGGGAAAACCUUAUGGCAAUCACCUUUGCACACUCGCUCACAUACUGAUACUCAAAGGCAAGUUAAGAGAGACAAAUUUAGCUUGUGGAAUCCCCAGAGAGAACUCACACAUACACAGGGAGAACAUGCACACAGAAAGAGCCUGGGCUCGGAUUUGAGUCCAGGAUCACCGGACUUCAAGGUAACAGUGCUAAACAGGUGCACCAAGACAUUCCUGGUCUCAGUAUGGGGCUGGUUACACUGCAGCGACACAAAAUGUGAUAUGUAUUUUUCCAUUCUGACGACUUUGAUCAGGAGUUUGUUAUAUAUAUUCAACAGCUUGUCUUGACAAAAUAAAAUUAAACGAUGAACAUGUUUUUACACGUAAGCAAUUUCACUGAAAUUUAUUCGUUUUUGUCUCGAUGAGUAUGGUUUUCACAAACUUGCCAUUUCCGACUUUUACUUACUUUACCGGAAAAAAUAGAAUAAACAAUCAAGGUAUGCGCAGCAUACGUUUAAUCUCCCUGUUAUUUUAGCAUUGCUACUAAAUAGACCUGAAAAAAUAAACAUCAUCACAGUUUAUAAAAAGAUAGCUUUAUUGCACAAGGUUUUAAGUACUCUUCUUUUUUUCCCCCCCGCUUUUGUUUGUUUUGAUAGAAAAGAGAAUGUAGGGUUAAACACAAGCAAUUGCAAACUGAAGCAAUGUUUCCCAAUAAAAGUUCAAAGAACAACUGCUGGAUUCUUAAAAUUCAUAUUUUUUUUAUUAAUGUCUGUUCAUUUCACCUCUUCCCCUUUUUCUCUUUUAUAACCAGGAAAAUUUCAGAACAUGCAACGCUGCUGCCCCUCACCCAAAAAACUCAUUGACAAAAAAGGACCUCUAGAUAAAAAAAAAAACAACGAAAACAAACAAAAAAAAUCCUGUGAAGUAAAAACAGAAA